rnacentral:rRNA from 1 species
UACGAAGGGGGCUAGCGUUGCUCGGAAUCACUGGGCGUAAAGGGCGCGUAGGCGGCUGAUCAAGUCGAGGGUGAAAGCCCGUGGCUCAACCACGGAAUGGCCUUCGAUACUGGUUGGCUUGAGACCGGAAGAGGACAGCGGAACUCCGAGUGUAGAGGUGAAAUUCGUAGAUAUUGGGAAGAACACCGGUGGCGAAGGCGGCGACCUGGUCCUUGACUGACGCUGAGGCGCGAAAGCGUGGGGAGCAAACAGG